ACUGCCCCUAGAAGUGUUUCCAGAGUGAGUGUUUUAUCACAUCUUCUUCAGUGGGUGGAAGAGAAGAGAAAGACUAUGUCUAUGUUCAGUGUUAUGAACUAGCAAUGUCUGAAAGACGACUAGCUUUGCAUU